CAAUAGCGUAUAUUAUUGAUGUUGCAGUUGAAACGUUCGUAGUCGAAUCUUAUCUGCCAAAGCAUUGUGUCAUUUAUGAUGACAUAAUGCUCUCGGCAGAGAUUGUACAAGCGUUUGCAUGUGUUUCACAUGUCUGACCUUGUAUCUUACUUUGAGUGAAUCGGCGUUAUGGAACUGCUUCCUUGUUUGUUCGGAAGCUCUUUCGAUACUGAUAGGAACGGUUGAGGGCAUUCGUAUUCGACUGCUAGAGGUGAAAUUCUUUGAUUAGUCGAGGACGAACCAUUGCGAAAGCAUCUGCCAAGGACGUUUCCUUUGA
rnacentral:rRNA from 1 species